UUUCACAGCCGGAGAACGUGACUGCAAUGGUUGCCUCCGCGCGAGCCGUGCCAAACUUGUCCUCUCUCUGAAAAGCGGCUCUCCGUCUCUUUCCGCACCGCGCGGUUUUUGCCCAUUUCGGGGGUUUAUGAGAGCCACUGUUUUGCAGAUUUUGAGAGCCGGAAGAAAACUUUAUAGAGAGUACCACCGCGGAGAAACACGGGUGAACUUCCAGCAGCAGCAGCAACAGCAGCAGCAGCCCGAGGGGACCGGGAGGAGGAGUCAACAGGUCCCAGAGGAAGGGUGAAUCCGAGCAAUCGAUGCGGGCCGUCCACCAGCCGGAAGCCCAGUUGGCCCAACGAAACACCACUCAAUCAGUCUGAGCAGCAACACAAAGGGGGGGCUGCUGGCGAGCACCAGAGGAUUAAGACAGAUUAGGCCUCAACGGACAAUAAUCCGCAGCAAAUCAGGGUCAUCAGAUGGCAGGGACAGUCUGAGGAGAAUCCCUCUGCACAUGCUCUCUGCGCAGAAGGACAGCGGAGGCGUGUUGUCAGGCAGCGAGCAGCCUCUUAAGUACACUGGAUGGCUC